rnacentral:rRNA from 1 species
UACGGAGGGUGCGAGCGUUGUUCGGAAUUACUGGGCGUAAAGGGCUCGUAGGCGGCCAACUAAGUCGGACGUGAAAUCCCUCAGCUUAACUGGGGAACUGCGUCCGAUACUGGAUGGCUUGGAUUUGGGAGAGGGAUGCGGAAUUCCAGGUGUAGCGGUGAAAUGCGUAGAUAUCUGGAGGAACACCGGUGGCGAAGGCGGCAUCCUGGACCAAUAUUGACGCUGAGGAGCGAAAGCCAGGGGAGCAAACGGG